GACGAACGCUGGCGGCGUGCUUAACACAUGCAAGUCGAACGGAAAGGCCCUGCUUUUGUGGGGUGCUCGAGUGGCGAACGGGUGAGUAACACGUGAGUAACCUGCCCUUGACUUUGGGAUAACUUCAGGAAACUGGGGCUAAUACCGGAUAGGAGCUCCUGCUGCAUGUUGGGGGUUGGAAAGUUUCGGCGGUUGGGGAUGGACUCGCGGCUUAUCAGCUUGUUGGUGGGGUAGUGGCUUACCAAGGCUUUGACGGGUAGCCGGCCUGAGAGGGUGACCGGCCACAUUGGGACUGAGAUACGGCCCAGACUCCUACGGGAGGCAGCAGUGGGGAAUAUUGCACAAUGGGCGGAAGCCUGAUGCAGCAACGCCGCGUGCGGGAUGACGGCCUUCGGGUUGUAAACCGCUUUCGCCUGUGACGAAGCGUGAGUGACGGUAAUGGGUAAAGAAGCACCGGAUAACUACGUG
rnacentral:rRNA from 1 species